rnacentral:sRNA from 1 species
CGAGAAUAAAACGUGAAGGAUAACGUUGCGUCAGCAACGGCCCGUAGGGCGAGGCGAAGCCGAGUCAUCCUGCACGACCCACCG